rnacentral:rRNA from 1 species
UACGUAGGGGGCAAGCGUUGUCCGGAUUUAUUGGGCGUAAAGAGCGUGUAGGCGGCUAGGUAGGUCCGUUGUGAAAACUCGAGGCUCAACCUCGAGACGCCGAUGGAAACCAUCUAGCUAGAGUCCGGAAGAGGAGAGUGGAAUUCCUGGUGUAGCGGUGAAAUGCGCAGAUAUCAGGAAGAACACCCGUGGCUAAGGCGGCUCUCUAGUACGGUACUGACGCUGAGGAACGAAAGCCAGGGUAGCGAACGGG